rnacentral:rRNA from 1 species
UACAUAGGGGGCAAGCGUUGUCCGGAAUUAUUGGGCGUAAAGAGCGCGUAGGCGGUCCGAUAAGUCGGCUGUGAAAGUCAGGGGCUCAACCCUUGGAAGCCGGCCGAUACUGUCGGACUAGAGUCCGGAAGAGGCGAGUGGAAUUCCCGGUGUAGCGGUGAAAUGCGCAGAUAUCGGGAGGAACACCAAUGGCGAAGGCAGCUCGCUGGGACGGUACUGACGCUGAGGCGCGGAAAGCGUGGGGAGCAAACAGGG